rnacentral:rRNA from 1 species
UUCCGGUUGAUCCUGCCGGACCUGACUGCUAUCGGAUUGAUACUAAGCCAUGUGAGUCAUUGCAGCAAUGCAAGGCAGACGGCUCAGUAACACGUAGUCAACCUACCCUAUAGACGGGGAUAACCUCGGGAAACUGAGGAUAAACCCCGAUAGAUCAUUAUGCCUGGAACGGUUUAUGGUCCAAAUGAUUCGUCGCUAUAGGAUGGGACUGCGGCCUAUCAGCUUGUUGGUGAGGUAAUGGCCCACCAAGGCUAUUACAGGUACGGGCUCUGAGAGGAGAGGCCCGGAGAUGGGUACUGAGACACGGACCCAGGUCCUAUGGGGCGCAGCAGGCGAGAAAACUUUGCAAUGUGCGCAAGCACGACAAGGUUAAUCCGAGUGAUUCCUGCUAAAGGAAUCUUUUGUUAGUUGUAAAACCACUGAUGAAUAAGGGGUGGGCAAGUUCUGGUGUCAGCCGCCGCGGUAAAACCAGCACCUCAAGUGGUCAGGAGGAUUAUUGGGCCUAAAGCAUCCGUAGCCUGCUUUGUAAGUUUUCGGUUAAAUCCAUCAGCUCAACUGAUGGGCCGCCGAAAAAACGGCAAAGCUAGGGAGUGGGAGAGGUAGACGGUACUCGAUAGGAAGGGGUAAAAUCCUUUGAUCUAUUGAUGACCCCCUGUGGCGAAGGCGGUCUACCAGAACACGUUCGACGGUGAGGGAUGAAAGCUGGGGGAGCAAACCGGAUUAGAUACCCGGGUAGUCCCAGCUGUAAACGAUGCAGACUCGGUGAUGCCCUGGCUUGUGGCCAGUGCAGUGCCGCAGGGAAGCCGUUAAGUUUGCCGCCUGGGAAGUACGUACGCAAGUAUGAAACUUAAAGGAAUUGGCGGGGGAGCACCACAAGGGGUGAAGCCUGCGGUUCAAUUGGAGUCAACGCCGG